rnacentral:rRNA from 1 species
UACGAAGGGGGCUAGCGUUGCUCGGAAUUACUGGGCGUAAAGCGCACGUAGGCGGAUUGUUAAGUCGGGGGUGAAAUCCUGGAGCUCAACUCCAGAACUGCCUUCGAUACUGGCGAUCUCGAGUUCGGGAGAGGUGAGUGGAACUGCGAGUGUAGAGGUGAAAUUCGUAGAUAUUCGGAAGAACACCAGUGGCGAAGGCGGCUCACUGGACCGGCAUUGACGCUGAGGUGCGAAAGCGUGGGGAGCAAACAGG